UGGCCACAGCCCUCCCAAGUGAGGCCCAGA
rnacentral:piRNA from 1 species